AUGCUGUGCCUUCUGUUGCUGUUGGGACCUAGUGCCAAUCUUGGGAUGCUCCUAUCUCAGACGCCAAUCAGAGGGAUCUGGAGGAGUGGAACCUCAGUGAAGAUCGAAUGUGAACAACGUGAUCAACUUGCUGCCAUGCUCUGGUACCUCCAGCUUCCACAGCAGAGCUUGGUACUGAUUGCUAAUGCAAACAAGGGCUUCUCAGCCACUUAUGAAAAGGGUUUUAAUGACACCAAGUUCCUCAUUACUAGACCAGAGUUAACAUACUCCACUUUGACAGUGACUGUUGUGAAUCCCGAAGAUACUGGCCUCUAUUUCUGCAUGGUAAGGGUAGGCAAUGGGGGUCAACAAUACUUUGGAAAGGGGACUCACCUUAUAGUCUUGGAUAACCUGGAAAGAGUGACUCCUCCAAAGGUAACUGUGUUUCAGCCAUCUGAGGAAGAGAUUGAGACAAAAGGAAAGGCCACUCUGGUCUGUCUGGCCACAGGCUUCUACCCUGACCUUGUGGAGCUGAGCUGGUGGGUGAAUGGGCAGGAGACCAAAAUUGGGGUCGGCACAGACCCUGAGCCUUCCAAGGAGCAUCCCAAUGAAGAACACUCCAGCUACUCCCUGAGCAGCCGCCUCCGGAUUUCUGCUCCCUUCUGGCGCAAUCCCAAGAACAGCUUUCGUUGCCAAGUUCGGUUUUAUGGCAUCGCAGAGAAUGAGACCUGGACAAGUACGCGGAGCAAACCUGUCACCCAGAAUGUCAGUGACCAGAUCUGGGGAAAGGCAGAUUGUGGAGUUACCUUUGAGUCCUUUCAACAAAGUAUCCAGUCUGCUACCUUCCUCUAUGAGAUUCUCCUGGGGAAGGCUGUGCUGUAUGGCCUGCUGGUCAGUGCCCUGGUGUGGAGAGCCAUGGCCAAGAAAAAAUAUUCCUGAGGUGAGCUGUGGAAUUAAAAAUAGGGAGAUGAAAGAAGAAUUCAGCACCCUAUAAUGGCUACUACUUUCUCUAUUCCUAUCCUGAGUUCCAGUAGAAGUAUUAUUUCUUUCACCUCCACCUUCAUCUUCAUAAGUCUCCUCAAAUAGAACUCUGAAGCUCACAGAGGACAAGGAUGGUUGCUUAAUCCUGAAGAAAUAAAAAAAAUUGCCAUGCUUA